rnacentral:RNase_P_RNA from 2 species
UCAGUCGGCCGGACGGCCGCUCCGGCAGGUGCCGAAAGGCCGCCGGGGAGGAAAGUCCGGGCUCCCUUGACAUGCGGUGCCGGAUAACGUCCGGCGGGGGCAACCCCAGGGAAAGUGCCACAGAGAACGAACCGCCCGCCGUCGCCCCUUCGUGGCAUGGCGAGGUAAGGGUGAAAAGGUGCGGUAAGAGCGCACCGCGGCUGCGGCAACGGAGCCGGCAUGGUAAACCCCACCGGGAGCAAAACCGAAUAGGGACGGCUUAAGCGGGCUGUUCGCGAAAGCGAUAACGCCGCGGGGCGAUGUCAGGCCCGCCGUCCGGGUAGGUUGCUCGAGGCCAUGUGCAAACAUGGUCCCAGAGGAAUGGCCGUCACGUAUCGUUCGCGCAAGCGGACGGUGCCCUACAGAACCCGGCUUACAGGCCGGCUGAUAUC